rnacentral:lncRNA from 1 species
UAUGAUAUAUGACUCCAUCAUCAUUAAAUGUUAGUUUACAUGCUGUGCCGACGAAUUUUAUUUGAACUAAACCCUGCACAAUCUUCAUGAUAAAGUUUUCUUGCUCAAGAGUUUUACCAUGCGACUUAGUGCAAUUACUAGACCAGUUUCCUGCAAACCAAGAUUAAAGCCAAAAUAGAUCAUGUUUUCUUCUACUUGGUAAUGGUCCUUACAAGC